UGCUGCCGAGUUCUGGGCCUCGGAGGUGGUGUCUGGCAUGUAACAAGUUCUGGAGCAGAGGGGUGGGUCUCCGAGUCGUCAUCCUUCACACCCCACCCCUCACAGCAAAAUGAUCUAACUUCUGUGGAUUUCCAUCAAUCAACCAGUGGGAUUUAUUGAGCACAUUCAGUGUGCAGAGAGCAUUGUACUGAGCACUUGCGAGAGGACAGUCCAGUAGAGUUGAUUGGCUCGAUCCUUGCUCAAACAGACGAUCUCGUAUCCUCUCCUGCUCUUAGUACAGUGCUUGGCACGUAGGAAGUACUUAACAAAUAUGACAAUUAUUGUUAUGGAGUUUACAGACUAUGGAGUAGACACAUUCAAAUAAAGGAACAGACAGGGAAAGCACAGAGAAUAAGACUAUGAAGGUACCUUAGCGCUGGGAAGCUGGAGUGGAGUAUCAAAGCACUUAAAGGGGUACACAACUCUUUCUUCAAAGAACCAGUUUGCUUAUCCUUGGGUUGUUUAGAAGAGUGCUUGGCACACAGUAAGCGCUUAACAAAUAUCAUUAUUAUCAUUACAUAGCAAGCAUACCAUAAUGCAUAUGUGUUGCCUCCAGGUCGGCAAAGGAGUGUCCAGUAUUCUCUAGUGCCAUCCGGAGCCCCUGUAUGAUUGGCUGGAGACCCCCUCCUCUUGUGGAAUCAGGAGGGAACCAGGACUCCUGAAGAGAUGAUCCCAAGACUCCAGAAACUCCUUAGAAGGCCUAUGGAAUAUUGCGUUUUAAAGGGUUGCCCGUGCUAGACCCGACAGCCCUGCGUGUGGCAGAGAGAAGGAGCAAAGAUCUCAUGGGGAUGAGAUGGACCCAUGCUGCCUGUCUCUCUCCUGCAAUGAUGGAAUCAUCCCAGACAACUUCCAUGGCCAUUUACCUGCUGACUUCUCAAUGGGGUGAGCUCCCAGGUAAGCGGAAUAACAAUAAU
rnacentral:lncRNA from 1 species